CUUGAUACAUUUUAGUUGCACCUGGAUGGAUGCUCAAUCCACUCCUAUGGCCCUCUUCAAGAAUACUCUUUUUCAAUUCAGACACCUCAGGAACACAAACUCUACCUUUAAAUCGCAGGAUGCCAUUCUCAUCAAUCUCAAAAAUACCACCAUUACCCUGGUUAACCAUAGUAAUAUGAUCGACUAGAGCGACAUCAACUUGCUGACCA
rnacentral:lncRNA from 1 species